rnacentral:rRNA from 1 species
AACGAACGCUGGCGGCAGGCUUAACACAUGCAAGUCGAACGCCCUCUUCGGAGGGAGUGGCAGACGGGUGAGUAACGCGUGGGGAUUUACCCAGUGGUACGGAAUAACCCAAGGAAACCUGGGCUAAUACCGUAUACGCCCUCCGGGGGAAAGAUUUAUCGCCAUUGGAUGAACCCGCGUCGGAUUAGCUUGUUGGUGGGUAAUGGCCUACCAAGGCGACGAUCCGUAGCUGGUCCGAGAGGAUGAUCAGCCACACUGGGACUGAGACACGGCCCAGACUCCUACGGGAGGCAGCAGUGGGGAAUAUUGCACAAUGGGCGCAAGCCUGAUGCAGCCAUGCCGCGUGAGUGAAGAAGGCCCUAGGGUUGUAAAACUCUUUCACCGGUGAAGAUAAUGACGGUAGCCGGAGAAGAAGCCCCGGCUAACUCCGUG